UCCCACCAAGACUGCAUUGCUUUCUCGAUAGCAGGCACAAUAUUCAGUUCUAUAUUGAAUAACAUUUGCAUAAUCAAAAUUUUGUCAAUAUGGCUUAUUGAUUUCCUUACAAACUGAAGCCAUAGAGAAGACACUGAAGAUUAUUACAAUUAUAGAAGAGAAUUCAAAGUCAAGUUGGUAACUCAAAGUCAGCUGUAGAAGUAAGCAAAGCCUGCACCACUGAGUCAGCUGACCAGCAAGCUGUGGGCAUGAGGCUCAGAUACUGAAGACUGGUUAUGUUACAGUUUCGGUGGGAGACCUUAAAAAUCUGAAAACCUUCUUUGAUCACCAACCUUUGCCCUACUUUCUCAGAAAAACAUUAAGUCAUGAGAAACUCUGAUUCAGGGCCACCGAGGCCUUAGAAAGUUUCAGUUUGGGGAUGAAGGAAAAUCACAGGGGGACAAGGUCUGCUCAGUUUUACAACUCUGCAAAUCUUAUGGGUUUCUCUGUGUAACGGCCCUAGCUGUCCUGGAACUAGCUCUUGUAGACCAGGCUGACCUCAGACUCACAGAGAUCCACCUCCUCUGCCUUCUGAUUGCUGGGAUUGAAGGUGUGU